CGCCCGGGGCGCCAAGGGUUAAAAGGAGCUGAGCUGGAUUCCUAGAGAAGACAGGAAAUAAAGGGAGAAGGUUCUCUCCCAUCCCUUCCUGCAAGAGCUGUUGUCUCUCUGCUCCGCAAGUGCUGCCUCGGUGGAGCCUUCUGGGAUCCGGUGAGUCUCCUUCCUCUUCUGCUUAGGUUGUGUUGGGGAGAUGGGGGAGUCCCCAGGGGGCAGGGCAGCCAGGAGGGUCCCCCAAGAAGAGAGAGAAGGGGGCCUGGGAAGCUCCGCUUUGCAAGGGUUCCAAGGAGCAGCGCAGAAGGCCAGCCACGAGGGCCAGGGAGUCAUCCUUCUCAGGGACCCCCAGAGUCAUCUAGCCCAACCCUCGGCCGCGCAGGAAUCUCUUGCCCAACCUGCGGCUCGAACCCAAGACCCUGAGAUCAGAGACACUCAUGUUCUACCAACUGAGCUCCCCUGCCUUAUUCGGGUUUCUUUCUGCAAUCCGCGUGGCUCCUCCUAAGCUUCUCAGGGAGAGAAAAUGUGAGCUUGGUUUGGUCCACCUUGCAAGGGUUAAAAGGCACUGAGACGCAUUCCUAGAGAGGACAGGAAAUAAAGGAGGGACGAGGUCCUCCCGAACAAAAGCCCCUCCCGCUCCCUGCAAGAGGGGGAAGGUGGCUUUCGUCUCCUCUGCAGGAGCUGCCUCAUGUUUCCUUCAGGGACCUGGAUUUGCUAAAACCUCUCAUUAG